rnacentral:rRNA from 1 species
AGUGAACGCUGGCGGCGUGCCUAAUACAUGCAAGUCGAACGGAGUGGCGCACGGGUGGGUAAUGUAUAGCUAAUCUGCCCUACACUAGAGGACAACAGUUGGAAACGACUGCUAAUACUCUAUAGUGUAGGAUGAGGCUAUAUUGUAUCAGCUCGUUGGUGAGGUAAUGGCUCACCAAGGUUAUGACGCAUAACUGGUCUGAUAGGAUGAUCAGUCACACUGGAAUGGAGACACGAGUCAGAAUUCUACGGGAGGGAGCAGUAGGGAAUAGUGCUAAAUGGGGGAAACUAUGAAGCAGCAACGCAUCGUGGAGGAUGACACUUGUCGAAGAGUAAACUCCUUUUGUUAGGGAAGCGGUACCUAACGAAUAAGCACCGGCUAACUCCGUGCCAGCAGCCGCGGUAAUAC